AAGCAUCAGUCCUCUUAUUUUCUGUCCUCUAUGAAAGAAUGUAGCUCGCUCUUUCAACCCGGGGCCCCCUCUGGGGAACUGUUUGAGUUUUAGCAUCGACCCCAUUUCCUUUUGAUCGUAUUACGCUUGACUCGCUGCAAAACAUUUCGCUUUCUGCGCUCGAAUGCUUCAGGUUUUAUAUAUUGUGACAUUGAACAAUGGAAAUGGAAAUUUUGUUUUGUGAGGAUCUGGUUGGAGCCUUUGUUGUCAAGUUUAUAAGCAGGCUAAAGAUGGCUCUUGGUUGACGGUGCAAUUUUAUUGUCGCAUUGAGAUCCCUGAGCUACAACAAGCUGGGGCCAAGGCCGGAGGAAGAAACAAGGUUCUUCUUAUGGCUGCUCCUUCAAAACGGACUUUGGACUGCCGAUUGUUUGAGGAACAGGAGAUGGAAUCACAACAAUAACUGCUGCCUGUGUGGCCAAGCUCUCGAAGAUGCCAAUCAUCUCUUCCUUUCGUGCCCUUUUUUGAAGGAGGUCUGUUGUAUAGUGUUGUCCACUGAGCUAUGUCAGUUCAGGCUGAACUUAUUGAAGGUUCUACUCUGGUGGAACAAUUUGCAAAGGGAUGUACCUGCUAAUUGGAGAAAGGAGUUUGCACUUAUUCCUUGUGGAUCAUUUGGAAUGAAAGGAACUGCUGUAUUUUUCAGCAAGAGUUUCUUGCCCACCUUGGUUGCGGUCAGGAUCAGAGAAGAGCUUGACUUAUUUAGUGCAGCGCCUAGGGUUUAAUUUCUUUUCAUUGACCCCCUUUUUUGUUGCUUGGCCUAGGCCUGUGUAGAUAACUUUGUUCUCUCUCUCUCUCUCUUCUCUAUGAAGUAUAAAGCGGUGCUCCUGCUGUUAAGGUAAAAAGGCAUUACAUCCAACAUAUGUUUCUUUCAGCUCAAAGAUAAUUACAUCCAAAUGUUAUAUGCUUC